rnacentral:snRNA from 1 species
GUGCUCGCUUCGGCAGCACAUAUACUAAAACUGGAAUGAUACAGAGAAGAUUACCAUGGCCCUUGCGCAAGGAUGGCAUGAAAAAUAUUAUUAAAAAAAAAAAGAAAU